rnacentral:rRNA from 1 species
AGAGUUUGAUUAUGGCUCAGGAUGAACGCUGGCGGCGUGCUUAACACAUGCAAGUCGAACGAAGCUAAGGGAGCUUGCUCCCAAAGCUUAGUGGCGGACGGGUGAGUAACGCGUGGGUAACCUGCCCUAUAGAGGGGGAUAACGUUCGGAAACGAACGCUAAUACCGCAUAAACCAUAAGGAGCUGCAUGGCUCUGAUGGCAAAGAUUUAUCGCUAUAGGAUGGACCUGCGUUGGAUUAGCUAGUUGGUGAGAUAACAGCUCACCAAGGCGACGAUCCAUAGCCGGCCUGAGGGGGUGAACGGCCACAUUGGGACUGAGACACGGCCCAAACUCCUACGGGAGGCAGCAGUGGGGAAUAUUGCACAAUGGGCGCAAGCCUGAUGCAGCGACGCCGCGUGAAGGAAGAAGGUCUUCGGAUUGUAAACUUCUAUCAGCAGGGAAGAAUAAAUGACGGUACCUGACUAAGAAGCCCCGGCUAACUACGUGCCAGCCGCCGC